rnacentral:rRNA from 1 species
GAUGAACGCUGGCGGCGUGCUUAACACAUGCAAGUCGAACGGAACUGUUUGGAUGAAGUUUUCGGAUGGAUUUUUAAACAGUUUAGUGGCGGACGGGUGAGUAACGCGUGGGUAACCUGCCUCACACUGGGGGAUAACGUUUGGAAACGAACGCUAAUACCGCAUAACGUGAGAAGAGGGCAUCCUCUUUUUACCAAAGAUUUAUCGCUGAGAGAUGGGCUCGCGGCCGAUUAGGUAGUUGGUGAGAUAACAGCCCACCAAGCCGACGAUCGGUAGCCGGACUGAGAGGUUGAUCGGCCACAUUGGGACUGAGACACGGCCCAG